rnacentral:rRNA from 1 species
CCUCAAAUCAGGUAGGACUACCCGCUGAACUUAAGCAUAUCAAUAAGCGGAGGAAAAGAAACUAACAAGGAUUCCCUUAGUAACGGCGAGUGAACCGGGAAGAGCUCAAAUUUGUAAUCUGGCUGUCUUCGAUAGUCCGAGUUGUAAUCUACAGAAGCGUUUUCCGUGCUGAACUGUGUAUAAGUCCCUUGGAACAGGGUAUCAAAGAGGGUGACAAUCCCGUACUUUACACAAUCAUCAGUGCUCUGUGAUACGUUCUCUACGAGUCGAGUUGUUUGGGAAUGCAGCUCAAAAUGGGUGGUAAAUUCCAUCUAAAGCUAAAUAUUGGCGAGAGACCGAUAGCGAACAAGUACCGUGAGGGAAAGAUGAAAAGAACUUUGGAAAGAGAGUUAAACAGUACGUGAAAUUGCUGAAAGGGAAACACUUGAAGUCAGUCGCGUUGGCCGGAAAUCAGCCUUGCUUUAGUGAGGUGUACUUUCUGGUUGACGGGCCAGCAUCAGUUUUGACCGGUGGAAAAAGUCGAGAGGAAGGUGGCAUCUUCGGGUGUGUUAUAGCCUCUUGUCGUAUACAUCGGUUGGGACUGAGGAACGCAGUACUUGUACUUCGGAUGCUGGCAUAAU